UUAAUAAAGAUUUAUUUAUAAAUCGGAGGACCUAUAUGUAAAUAUGAAAAUUUCAAGGACUAAACUGUUAAGUUGUAAAAAGAAGAAAAUAAAGAAAACCGAAAACUUCGGUUUUAUCCCACCGCCUCCCACGCUCUCUCUGUUUCUUCGAGAAACAGAGAGAAGCGGUGGGGCGUGGGGAGAAGAAGAAGAGAAGUAGAGGGAGAAGAGAAGAAGAGGGAAAAGAAGAGAGGAAGAAGAGGGAGAAGAGAAAAAAAAAAAAGAAGAAGUAGAAGAGAGGGAAGAUGGAGAGGAGGAAGAGAGGCAGCUGCAGCAGCUAGGGCUGCAGCACCUCUGUUUUCCGCAGGUGGAAACAGAGGAGAGGAUGUGCGUGGCGUUGGGGAGGGAAAAGGGAAGAGGAGAAAGAAGAGAAGGAGAAGAAGAGGGAAAAGAGAGGGAAGACGGAGUGGAGCGAGAGGUGGCAGCAGCUAGGGCUGCAGCACCUCUGUUUCCUGCAGGUGGAAACAGAGGAGACGUGUGGGGUGACGUGUAGGAGAAGAGCAGAAGAAGAAGAAGAGGAAGAGAAGGAGAAGGGGAAGCAGGAGAAGAGGUUGUGAUACCUCUGUUCCCUGCAGAGGAAACAGAGGAGAGGGUGUGUGUGACGCCGGGAAGAAGAAGGGGAGGAAGGAGAAGAAGAAGAAGAAGAAGAGGAGGUGUGUGGCGUUGGGGAGGAAAGGGGAAGCAGGAGAAGAGGUUGUGAUACCUCUGUUCCCUGCAGAGGAAACAGAGGAGAGGGUGUGUGUGACGCCGGGAGGAAGAAGGGGAGGAAGAAGAAGAAGAAGAAGAAGAAGAGGAGGUGUGUGGCGUUGGGGAGGAAAAGGGAAGAGGAGAAGAGGAAGAGGCAAGGCUGCAGCGAGGAGGUGUGUGGCGUUGGGGAGGAAAAGAAGAAGAGGAGAAGAAGAAAAGAAAGGAAGAAGGGAAGGAGAGGAAGAAGAGAAGGGAAAGAAGGGGCUGCGGCUGCGGCGAUGGCAGCUGCAGUUGGAAGAGAAGAAGGAGAGGAAGAUGAGCAGGGGAGGAAGAAGAGGUUGUGGUCGUGGCUGUGGCCGCGACUGCAGCAGUUGCAGCUGGGAAAAAAGAGAAGGAAAGGAAGGAGAAGAGAAAGGGAAGGAGAGGAAGAAGAGAGGAAGAGGAGAAGGGGUGGCAGCAGCAGCUGGAAGAGAAGGAGAGGAAGAAGAGGCUGCGGUUGUGGUGGCUGCGGCCAUGGCUGCGACUGCGACUGCGACUGCGGCAGUUGCAGCUGGGAAAGAAAAGAAAGGAAAGGGGGGAAAAAGGGGCUGUGGACGGGAUUGCGGCCGCAGCGGCAGCGACUGCGUAUGCAGCAGUUAUGUCUGCGAGAGAAGGGAGGAAGGAAGUUAGUGCGGUGGAAGGGGCUGCGAUUGUGGCAGCGGCAGCGGCGGCGGCUGUGACAGCUGCGUUUGGGAAAGAAAAAGAAGGAAUGAGAGUAAGAGAGAGCAGGUGACUGUGCCUCGAUGUUCGACACGUGGUGUAGUUGCGAAGAAAGGAAGAAAACGGGAGCACAAAACGAAACAGAGAGAGGACACGGAGGAAAAGUAGAAGGAUUUGGGUUGGCACCUUCUUUGGAUCUUCGGGUCAAAAUUUGCAAAGGAUAGCGUAUCGCUUGCUUAAAUGUUAAGAAUGGGCUGAGGCAGUGGAAAGUUUAGAAGACGUUGGGCAGAACUUUUGUUAGCAUAUAUGUAGUUGUGUAUAAGCUACCUUGCAUCUAAUGAAAUGUGACUAUGAAUCUAAACCUGUGGAUUUUGUGUAAGUUAAAGGAUCCCUCAUGUAUAGGGUUUUGGAAUGUUAAAUUAAAUUUGUGUAAUGAUAUGAACUUAUGGUAAAUCGAUGAUUGUGGUGACUGCAUAGAUUUCCCCACUUGUGGACUUAUAUUGUGGUUUUUAUUUUGAUGAGUCGGGUUCAGAUGGUAUAAAUUUUCGAGUGAUGUGUGCUAUGUUUAUGAAUUGCACAGGGAUAUGAAUUGGUAGAUUAUAGAAGCGAAAUUUUUGAUUUGAAUGUUUUCUUAGUGACCUCAAAUGUGUGUUUGGAUCCUGGGUUAGUUGUGACGAAAGAUUUUAAAUAUCAUGGAUAUUUUUAGGGGUGUGACAGAGGUGGUAUCAGAGCAUGAUUUGAGAAUCACUAAGAAUAUUAUGUUUUUUUGAGGUUUAUUGACUAUCAUUUAGAGAUUGAUCAAAGAAAAUGUUCUUUUGAUGAUUUAGGAAUCUGGGAUGACGAGGACAUUUGGUCCUCCUAUUUCAUUUGUUUCUGAUUAAUUAAGAGGAAUGAAAGGAUUGAUUUGGGAUAUUGAAUCAGAGUGGCGCAGCAGAAGCAUAGUGGACCUAAUUUCAUUGGUGGCAGAAAAAUGAAUGAUGCGAAUAGAGAAGAUAUUCGAUGUACAAAAUUGUUCUGAUAAUCAAACGAUUUCUUUUGCCACCUUAUAUUGGAUGUAGAGGCUGAUCAUUAAUGGGAAAAAUGAAAAGAAUUUUUGGAGAUCAGUGGCAAGAUGAUAAGGACAAGUUACCAAUAAAAAUAUGAUUGGAAAUGAAUCAGAAAAUAAUAACAAGAGGGUCAAGGCAUUUGGAUUUGAAAUGGGAAGUCACCAUAAAAGACUUAAUCAUGUGUGAAUUAUAAGUUAAAUUAUGAAACAAAUUUGUGUUUCGGGUGAUUGGAGUCUAUUUUGCUUGUAGAAAGUUGGAUCAUAAAAUAAAAGACUGCCCUUUGAACAAUAAGAAAGAGUCACUGCCUCAUAAAUCAUCAGCCCAUGUCAGAGUGUAUGCUAUUACUGAAUAUGAUUCUGAAACUUAUGAAUUAGUGGUCAAAGGUAUUAUAUAUGUUUAUGAAAGAAUGCAAAUAUUUGUUUGACCAUGGGUCCCAUCUAUGAUUUGAUUCGGAAUAUUUUGCCUAUCACUUGGGUAUUCAACCUAGACCACUACAUUAUGUGCUAUAUGUAAGUACAAUCAUUGGAGAUUCUUUGAUAACGAACUUGAAUCUGGUCCUCUUGUCUGAUUUUUGUUGGAGAACUUGAACUUUGCUGAUUUAGUUCUCCUAGAGAUUUGGAGUUAUGAUAUUAUACUUGGUAUGGAUUGGCUAUCUUCUUAUCAUACCAGUAUGGAUUGGUAUAUAACCAAUGAUCACUUUUUGCAUAUUUGAUCAGCCGAUCUUUUAUUUUGAGAGUAUUGGACAUUAUUUAUCUCCUUGCCUAAUGUAUCCCAGGAUGACUUGUUUGGAUUAUCUCCAAAUGUGAUCUUGCUUUUGAUUUGGUCCAUGGGACAAUCCCAAUAUCUAAGCCUCUCUACAGAAAGAUAUCAUUUGAGUAAGUGGAAUUGGAAAAGCAACUACAAGGAUUAUUAAAUGAGGAUUUUAUUUGGCUUAAUAUUUCAUCAUGGGGUGCUCCGGUGUUAGUUAAAAAGAUGUAUGGAACAUUGAGGCUUUGUAAUGAUUAUAGACAAUUGAAUCAGGUGACCAUAAAAAAAUGAGUAUUUCCUGAAGUAACGACAUGCUUGAUUAACUGUAGGGUGCGCAAGUAUUUUUAGAAAUUGAUUGAAGGUCGGGUUACCGUCUAUUAAGGAUCAAGGAGGAGAAUAUUUCGGUCACUCGUGGAUAACUAUGUAAUUGUAUUGUAUUGAUGAAACUAUUUAAGAGCAGGAGGAGGAAAUAAAGAUAUCAUAAUCCUCAUCUUUUCAUCGAUUGAGCUAUGAUCAAUUUAGAGGACUAAAUUUUCUUUUAAGGAGGGGAGAGUGUAAUAUCCCUCACUUUUGAAACUUAUUAAUAAAUAUUUAUUUAUAAAUCGGAGGACCUAUAUGUAAAUAUGAAAAUUUCAAGGACUAAACUGUUAAGUUGUAAAAAGAAGAAAAUAAAGAAAACCGAAAACUUCGGUUUUAUCCCACCGCCUCCCACGCUCUCUCUGUUUCUUCGAGAAACAGAGAGAAGCGGUGGGGCGUGGGGAGAAGAAGAAGAGAAGUAGAGGGAGAAGAGAAGAAGAGGGAAAAGAAGAGAGGAAGAAGAGGGAGAAGAGAAAAAAAAAAAAGAAGAAGUAGAAGAGAGGGAAGAUGGAGAGGAGGAAGAGAGGCAGCUGCAGCAGCUAGGGCUGCAGCACCUCUGUUUUCCGCAGGUGGAAACAGAGGAGAGGAUGUGCGUGGCGUUGGGGAGGGAAAAGGGAAGAGGAGAAAGAAGAGAAGGAGAAGAAGAGGGAAAAGAGAGGGAAGACGGAGUGGAGCGAGAGGUGGCAGCAGCUAGGGCUGCAGCACCUCUGUUUCCUGCAGGUGGAAACAGAGGAGACGUGUGGGGUGACGUGUAGGAGAAGAGCAGAAGAAGAAGAAGAGGAAGAGAAGGAGAAGGGGAAGCAGGAGAAGAGGUUGUGAUACCUCUGUUCCCUGCAGAGGAAACAGAGGAGAGGGUGUGUGUGACGCCGGGAAGAAGAAGGGGAGGAAGGAGAAGAAGAAGAAGAAGAAGAGGAGGUGUGUGGCGUUGGGGAGGAAAGGGGAAGCAGGAGAAGAGGUUGUGAUACCUCUGUUCCCUGCAGAGGAAACAGAGGAGAGGGUGUGUGUGACGCCGGGAGGAAGAAGGGGAGGAAGAAGAAGAAGAAGAAGAAGAAGAGGAGGUGUGUGGCGUUGGGGAGGAAAAGGGAAGAGGAGAAGAGGAAGAGGCAAGGCUGCAGCGAGGAGGUGUGUGGCGUUGGGGAGGAAAAGAAGAAGAGGAGAAGAAGAAAAGAAAGGAAGAAGGGAAGGAGAGGAAGAAGAGAAGGGAAAGAAGGGGCUGCGGCUGCGGCGAUGGCAGCUGCAGUUGGAAGAGAAGAAGGAGAGGAAGAUGAGCAGGGGAGGAAGAAGAGGUUGUGGUCGUGGCUGUGGCCGCGACUGCAGCAGUUGCAGCUGGGAAAAAAGAGAAGGAAAGGAAGGAGAAGAGAAAGGGAAGGAGAGGAAGAAGAGAGGAAGAGGAGAAGGGGUGGCAGCAGCAGCUGGAAGAGAAGGAGAGGAAGAAGAGGCUGCGGUUGUGGUGGCUGCGGCCAUGGCUGCGACUGCGACUGCGACUGCGGCAGUUGCAGCUGGGAAAGAAAAGAAAGGAAAGGGGGGAAAAAGGGGCUGUGGACGGGAUUGCGGCCGCAGCGGCAGCGACUGCGUAUGCAGCAGUUAUGUCUGCGAGAGAAGGGAGGAAGGAAGUUAGUGCGGUGGAAGGGGCUGCGAUUGUGGCAGCGGCAGCGGCGGCGGCUGUGACAGCUGCGUUUGGGAAAGAAAAAGAAGGAAUGAGAGUAAGAGAGAGCAGGUGACUGUGCCUCGAUGUUCGACACGUGGUGUAGUUGCGAAGAAAGGAAGAAAACGGGAGCACAAAACGAAACAGAGAGAGGACACGGAGGAAAAGUAGAAGGAUUUGGGUUGGCACCUUCUUUGGAUCUUCGGGUCAAAAUUUGCAAAGGAUAGCGUAUCGCUUGCUUAAAUGUUAAGAAUGGGCUGAGGCAGUGGAAAGUUUAGAAGACGUUGGGCAGAACUUUUGUUAGCAUAUAUGUAGUUGUGUAUAAGCUACCUUGCAUCUAAUGAAAUGUGACUAUGAAUCUAAACCUGUGGAUUUUGUGUAAGUUAAAGGAUCCCUCAUGUAUAGGGUUUUGGAAUGUUAAAUUAAAUUUGUGUAAUGAUAUGAACUUAUGGUAAAUCGAUGAUUGUGGUGACUGCAUAGAUUUCCCCACUUGUGGACUUA